UCUGUAAGUUUCUGACUUACGCAUUUGAGGAUCUCUAUCGGAGCCAACUCCGAUUAAAAAUUUAUUUUGUAGGUUCGAUCACCAUCACUUUACUGAUUGUCGUCCAACUCUAGCCAAUCCAGCCUAAGUCGAAAAACUGCAGCAGCACCAUUGAUCAAAGCUUUUACCUGACCAUGACCAGUGGAAAGAGAGGGUCCAAUAGAAUUAUAGAUGGGACAUGGACUCAAUAA
rnacentral:lncRNA from 1 species